rnacentral:rRNA from 1 species
AUUGAACGCUGGCGGCAGGCUUAACACAUGCAAGUCGAGCGGAGAUGAGGUGCUUGCACCUUAUCUUAGCGGCGGACGGGUGAGUAAUGCUUAGGAAUCUGCCUAUUAGUGGGGGACAACAUUCCGAAAGGAACGCUAAUACCGCAUACGUCCUACGGGAGAAAGCAGGGGAUCUUCGGACCUUGCGCUAAUAGAUGAGCCUAAGUCGGAUUAGCUAGUUGGUGGGGUAAAGGCCUACCAAGGCGACGAUCUGUAGCGGGUCUGAGAGGAUGAUCAGCCACACUGGGACUGAGACACGGCCCAGACUCCUACGGGAGGCAGCAGUGGGGAAUAUUGGACAAUGGGGGAAACCCUGAUCCAGCCAUGCCGCGUGUGUGAAGAAGGCCUUAUGGUUGUAAAGCACUUUAAGCGAGGAGGAGGCUACUGAGACUAAUACUCUUGGAUAGUGGACGUUACUCGCAGAAUAAGCACCGGCUAACUCUGUGCCAGCCGCCGCCGUAA